rnacentral:rRNA from 1 species
AACGCGAAGAACCUAGACUUGACAUCCCUUGUAUUACUCUUAACCGAGGAAAUCCUUCGGGACAAGGAGACAGGUGGUGCAUGGUUGUCGUCAGCUCGUGUCGUGAGAUGUUGGGUUAAGUCCCGCAACGAGCGCAACCCUUAUUGUUAGUUGCUACCAUUAAGUUGAGCACUCUAGCGAGACUGCCCGGGUUAACCGGGAGGAAGGUGGGGAUGACGUCAAAUCAUCAUGCCCCUUAUGUCUAGGGCUACACACGUGCUACAAUGGCGAGUACAAAGAGAUGCAAUACCGCGAGGUGGAGCCAAACUCAAAAACUCGUCCCAGUUCGGAUUGUAGGCUGAAACUCGCCUACAUGAAGCCGGAGUUGCUAGUAAUCGCGAAUCAGAAUGUCGCGGUGAAUACGUUCCCGGGUCUUGUACACACGC